rnacentral:rRNA from 1 species
CACGUAGGCACCAAGCGUUGUCCGGAUUUAUUGGGCGUAAAGAGCUCGUAAGCGGUCUGUCGCGUCGGUCGUGAAAACUUGGGGCUUAACCCUGAGCUUGCGGUCGAUACGGGCAUGACUGGAGUUCGGCAGGGGAGACUGGAAUUCCUGGUGUAGCGGUGAAAUGCGCAGAUAUCAGGAGGAACACCGGUGGCGAAGGCGGGUCUCUGGGCCGAUACUGACGCUGAGGAGCGAAAGCGUGGGGAGCGAACAGG